ACACGUGGAUAACCUGCCCUCAGGUCUGGCAUAACCCCGGGAAACUGGGGAUAAUUCCGGAUAACGCAUAUAUGCUGGAAUGCUUUAUGCGUCAAAGGUCCUCCGCCUGAGGAUGGGUCUGCGGCCUAUCAGGUAGUAGCGGGUGUAAUGUACCUGCUAGCCGACGACGGGUACGGGUUGUGAGAGCAAGAGCCCGGAGAUGGAUUCUGAGACAUGAAUCCAGGCCCUACGGGGCGCAGCAGGCGCGAAAACUUUACAAUGCGGGAAACCGUGAUAAGGGGACACCGAGUGCCGGCAACAUUUGCUGGCUGUCCAGGUGUGUAAACUACACCUGUUAGCAAGGGCCGGGCAAGACCGGUGCCAGCCGCCGCGGUAACACCGGCGGCCCGAGUGGUGAUCGUUAUUAUUGGGUCUAAAGGGUCCGUAGCCGGUUUAGUCAGUCCUCCGGGAAAUCUGUCAGCUCAACUGAUAGGCUAUCGGGGGAUACUGCUAGACUUGGAACCGGGAGAGGUAAGAGGUACUACAGGGGUAGGAGUGAAAUCUUGUAAUCCCUGUGGGACCACCUGUGGCGAAGGCGUCUUACCAGAACGGGUUCGACGGUGAGGGACGAAAGCUGGGGGCACGAACCGGAUUAGAUACCCGGGUAGUCCCAGCCGUAAACGAUGCUCGCUAGGUGUCAUGCAUGGUGCGACCGUGUAUGGUGCCGUAGGGAAGCCGUGAAGCGAGCCACCUGGGAAGUACGGCCGCAAGGCUGAAACUUAAAGGAAUUGGCGGGGGAGCAC
rnacentral:rRNA from 1 species